AGUGAACGCUGGCGGCGUGCCUAACACAUGCAAGUCGAACGGGCUAGUGCUUCGCACUAGUCUCUUUCUGGGGUUGUUACUCUAAGGCUACCUGCUAAGGUUAUUGCUUUAAAGCAGGGGUUUUAGGAGACUUUCCCCGAAAGGGGCCAGUGCGGAGCACUGGCCAGUGGCGAACGGGUGAGUAACACGUGGGUAAUCUACCCUCGAGUGGGGAAUAAGCUUCCGAAAGGGGGUCUAAUGCCGCAUAACGUUUCAUAACGAUGGUUAUGAAACCAAAGCCCAAAAGGCGCUCGAGGAGGAGCCUGCGUCCUAUCAGCUUGUUGGCAGGGUAAUGGCCUACCAAGGCUAUGACGGGUAGCCGGCCUGAGAGGGUGUCCGGCCACACUGGAACUGAGACACGGUCCAGACUCCUACGGGAGGCAGCAGUGGGGAAUUUUGCGCAAGUGGGGGAAACCCUGACGCAGCGACGCCGCGUGGAGGAUGACGGCCUCGGUUCGUAACUCCUCGUCAGAGGACGAAUCCGACCG
rnacentral:rRNA from 1 species